UAAUACGUAGGGGGCAAGCGUUGUCCGGAAUCAUUGGGCGUAAAGAGCGUGUAGGCGGCCCGAUAAGUCCGCUGUGAAAGUCCAGGGCUCAACCCUGGAAUGCCGGUGGAUACUGUCGGGCUCGAAUCCGGAAGAGGUGAGUGGAAUUCCUGGUGUAGCGGUGAAAUGCGCAGAUAUCAGGAGGAACACCAAUGGCGAAGGCAGCUCACUGGGACGGUAUUGACGCUGAGACGCGAAAGCGUGGGGAGCAAACAGGAUUAGAUACCCUGGUAGUCCACGCCGUAAACGAUGGUCACUAGGUGUGGGGGGUGUCGACUCCCUCCGUGCCGGAGCUAACGCAUUAAGUGACCCGCCUGGGGAGUACGGCCGCAAGGCUA
rnacentral:rRNA from 1 species